UGGAGCACGUCAGCUCCUCCUCCCCAUACAGGUGUGCAGCUGGGAUAACCGAUGAUUAAUGCAUGUGUCUGGCCGGGCCUUCAGGGUAAUUUGAUUUGCUUGAUAUCCAGAGUGAUCACCCCUCUUUCCUUCCUCCCCACCUUCUUUUUUUUCCCUGAGUUUGUGGCAGUGUUUACCUUAGUUGGUGUUUUCAGUUGAUGAAUGACACUUGUUUCUGGCCUCCGUUUCCGCCCAAGUUGUAAUUAGAUUUUGCACGAGGCUCCUGUGAUUACGGACCUGGGCCUUCCUCCCCCAUCGGACCUCUCAAAAGUUACUCGGCUUUCCGAACUUUCCCCAGUUUUCCUUCCUGUCGUCCUCACCAGCAAACCCCGGUGCCGAUGGGCCGGCAGGAGGCCCCUGUCACCUCCGGGGGUUUAGGGUUUGUGCUGGCAAAAGCCACAUCCUGCUCCUGAUGGAAUCCAUUAGGCUGGAGGGACGAAUGGCUUCCCAGAGAGAUGCGCUGAUUUGCCGGAGGGGAGCCGUGCUCUGCCCCAGAGCUCUGCGGAGGAGGAAGCAGCCUGGGUGCCUUGGAACUGAAAGAAUGCCCACGCAGCCGAGACAGCACCGCCAGUGAAUUCACGGUCCGGGAAAUAGAUGAACUGCACCGACCCAGAAAACUCGCAAGGAAGAGAUUCGGAAGUGGAAGAGGGAGAAACAUUGGUCCUUAAGAAACUUCUAAGAGAAAUUUGAG